UUGCUGCAGUGUAGACGCACCAUACUGUACUUAUUACACAUCAGUGUAGCGUGUUAGUGCUGGUAGUGAUUGUUUCUGCAAAUUGCAAACUUAUAGCAAUAAAUUAUAAACUGCUCUUCUCCCAAGUUCCCAACUUGAUUUUUCUCAGACCUCUGUUUUUGCUUUACGGAAUUGUUGUAAUCACGAAGGCAUUUUUGUAUAUAUGAAACUUAUAACGAUUGCUCCUGGGAAAUGGUUAAGAUUGCUGUUUUUGCGCUGUGAUUGUGUGAGUUAAGCCUUUGCUGUUGCAACGGUUAGUGGGUUUUGCCAGCUCUCGACUUGCGUCAGUUCACUGAUUGUCAAAAACCUCUUUUCCACUGAAGAUCCAACUUGUCGAAGCCUCCCAUGGUUUAGGAUCAAGCAUGGAAGUUCCGGAACAUGUGGAAAUAUUAGAAAAUUAGAAAACAAGAUGAUCCCAUGCAGGAUCUUGCGCAUAAAUUCUCCCUUUCCGAUGAAAAUUUUUCCCGAACGCCUGCCCGCUGCCAGCACGCGCAUGAACCCACUGAAGCUGCGAAAUAUUUCCGAGGAGAAGAACUUAGGAGAGAAGUUGUAUGCCAUCAAGUCGGAUGUGCCUUCGAGCAAAGCUGAUGCGAAUGUUAACUACGAAAUUAUUGAGCCGAAAUAUUGAGAAAUGAAUGUACAUAUAACCGCUGUGCAUCCUGUUUUUCCAUGUUUAUGCCGUGAUUAAUGCAGACUUGUGAUCAGUGCAUGUGAUGCGCUACAAUAAAUAUUAAUAAAGCCUAUUA